ACAACCAAAACUUACAUAGGCUUUUUAUCAUUUUACUGGGCCUAUGUAACUGAGUUUUAGCCAGUGGAAUAUGUCCAAGUGACAUUUGCCACUUCUAGGUCUGGCACAUUAACACUUGAUGUAUUACAUUUCAGACCCUCUUAUCAUUCUGCAGUGUGUUUGGCGAUCUGUUGUUUAAGAUCUAUAUGCACUGGUUACUGUUGCUUGCCUUCCAUUCCUACCCUUACUAAUCAGAUUCCUAUUAUAGCUACUUCUGUCCUUGAUUCAUUUUGUAUAUUAGAUGUGUGUGUGUUCAUGUGCAUGCAUGCACCCUCACAUGUAGGUGUAUAUGGGAGUGGUGGUAAAGACAGGAUAUUUCUUCAGUUCAUGGGAUUUUAUUUCAGGAGAAUUCAAACAUUCACGUAUUGGAGAAGAUGACACAUUUCUUGAAUGUCUUGGGCUUUGAGCUGAAUGCACUAACUAGAAGGGACUUCAGAUUGUCCUCCUUCGGGGGAGGUAAGUAUAUUCUUCAUAUACAGGUAAGAGUGAAAUGAUAGAAGAAUGUUCCUCCUCUCCUUUUCUUCCUGGACAACAGAUCAAAUAUUUCUCAGAUCUUUUACAGCUGAAUUGGAGUCACAUGGACAGGUAUGAUCUUAAAAUAUAAAAAAUUAUUUUAAAAUUACAUGCUAAAAUUUUAUAAAAAUAAAUGCUAAAACUAACUUAAACGGAAGCAUUUGAUUAAAAAAUUUAUCCAAAAAAGUUUGAAUUUUAUAUGAAACAGGAUAGAAGAUGAAAAAGCUAAAGAAAUAAAAUAUAAAUAAAUUAUGGCUGGGGACAGUGGCUCACACCUGUAAUCCCAGCACUUUGGGAGGCUGAGGUGGGAGGACUGAUUGAGGCUAGGAGUUUGAGACCUGUUAUUUGAGGCACAUGGGAAGGAAAGUUUUCUUUGAGAUAUUCCACAUUUUAUAAUAUUCUUCAAGAGAUUUACAGAGUUCCUUGAGUGAAUUGUUGGUUUGUUCUUAAUACUGAAUUUCCUAUUCAAAUUUAUUUAGAAGUUCAUUUCUUACAGUGAUCUCAUCUCCUAUUAAGAUAUUCUUCAAGGUAGGUUCUUGGCCAGUUUCUCAAUGACAGAUUUUUAAAAAUAUUGUUAAUCUUUUUAUUAAUAUGAGAACAUAAUUGUUCCAGAUCUGGAGGCCAUCCUUUAAGCUUCUUGCAACAGUCUGGGAGCAAAGAGUUUACUCGCCACUGGGUAGUGGGCCAUGGACACCCCAGUCUCCACCAGAAGUUCGGGAUUGCAAAAUGGGACUCUGGCAGCAAAUUUCAAACUGUAUGCCAGACCUGGCCCUUUGCAGAGUUAAAAGAAGCCAGGUGUGGUGGCUCACACCUGUAAUCCCUGGACUUUGGGAGGCUGAGGCCAGAGAAUCACCUGAGGUCAAGGGUUUGAAACCAGCGUGGCCAACAUGACAAAAACCCAUCUCUACUAAAAUAGAAAAAUUAGCCAGGAGUGAUGGCGGGCACCUGUAAUCCCAGCUACUUGGGAGGCUGAUGGAGGAGAAUCACCUGAACCCAGGAGGUGGAGGUUGCAGUGGGCCAAGAUUGCACCACUGCACUCCUGUCUGGGCAACAGAGUGAGACUGUC
ensembl:lncRNA LINC01949 long intergenic non-protein coding RNA 1949